AAGUGCACGUCUAGAGUGCAAGUGAGAAAAGACAGGUAGGAGUUUAGCUGUCACUUCAGAGGAAAUAUAAAGGAGAUAAAGAAUGCAGCUUUUCAGGCCUUUCUCACCACUCAGAAAACCAUACUUUCUACUCUUCAGUUCUUCUACACUUGGUUACAAAAUAAAACCUUACAACAGUAUCGCCUGUUUCGUUUUUUAGAACACUUUAGCUUGUUCUUAGUUUAAUGAAGGAUUGAGAAAUGCUUGCAGAGGAAAUCCACAGACACUGACUGUGUUGUUGUCCCAUGACAUACGCUUUUCCUGUUGUGUCCUAUACUUGGAGUCACACUGAAAUUUGCAGCAAGACUUAACUUUCACCAAAAACUCCUCGGAAGAAGCUGUUAGCUAUGAGGAGGUAUCUUGGGACUUACCAGCCACUGCAACUAGGUAGCAAAGGCCUGAUUAAAUGGUCUCUAAUGCUAUCGGGUUGUUUUAAAAAGAAUUACAGUUUUACAUAAACUGAAUCAAACCUUCCAGCUAAAUAAAACUCAAUAGCAACUUUCUACUCAUGUGUUCUGUAAGAUAUUAUAUUACUUCAUUUUAUAGUGUAGAAGAUACUAAGUAAUAUCUGCAAUGUCUUUAUACUUGUGAAAAGAUGUGAUUUCUGCAUUUAUCUUUUCUUUUACAGCCUUGCCCUAAUAGUACAGUUUUAAUAUUUCUGUAAAUUAGAUUUUGUGUGUGUGUGAGAGAGAGAUGGAUGGUAGAAUAAGAUGAAGAAUCAUGUUUAAUAGUCAGUUAUUCUUUAAUUCUGCACACAUUCAGCUCCUUUUAGCCAACCAAGCUUUCAUGUUACAAAAAUGUAGAUGUGAUAGAAAAUACUGUAACAACAGAAAUGCUGAAUAUGUUUUAAAUUAUAAAAUCUUGUUGUUAGUAGAAUCUUCCUUGAUCUUGACUAUUGAUCUGUAUGUGUUUUUUGGUAUUUCACCCCUCUCAACAUAUUAUCAAAUACUCAAAGAAUAAUUUAUAGCUUUCUGAAGAGUAUUCAGUUCAAGUAAAGAUGCUAAUAAAAUAUUAGAAGGAGUUAACAUUUAAUGAAUGAAAAGGUACAAUAAAUAUUGGAAGUGCAUUAGAUGUGCAAUCAAAUUUUAUAGCAUUUUAAGGUAUUUCAGAUAAUAAAAAAUUAUGAUUCUUAAUCCAAAUUCUGUGUACUGAUGUACUGACUAUAAUUGAUUAAAUAAUCAUCAGCAUAGAAUCAGAGUAUUGUAGAAUCACAAUAAUAUGAGUUGGAAGGGACGUUGAAGAUCACCUACUUCCAACUCCCCUGCUAUGGGCAAGGAUAUUUUUCACUAGAUUAGCAUGCCUAAGUCUCCAUUCAACCGUGCUUUGAAUGCUUACAAGGAUGGGGCACCCACAGCUGCUCUUGGUGACUUGUUCUAGUGCAUCUACACUCUUAUAGAAAAUAAUUUCUUCCUUAUGUCCAACCUAAAUCUUCCUUCUUCUAAUUUUAAAUCUCUACUCCUUGUCCUAUCAAAGUUUGCCAAAAUUACCAAGAGUGGAAUUAUAGCAGUACAUAGUUUACGUAUUAUGUUUACUAGGAUAAAACUGUUAAAGAUUUUCCUGUGUAAAGGAAACACUUCUGGUCAAUCCAUGGCAGAAGUCUGUGUAUAUGCAGUCAUUUUGAUCUGCAAUCAACCUAUAACACUAUAAUCUAGCUCAUUUAAUAUCACUUACGUCUUGGAGGAUUGUUAUUCAGUUUCAGCUAUAUUUAUGUUUUCUUAGCAGAUUUUUCAGACAGGUAACUAUGAACUGCAGUUAUUAUGUCAGACAUACAUAUAUAAUAGAUCAAAGACUCCGACUACCAAGAUUAGUGUAGCUUAAUGAAUUGAUAACAUUCAACACUACAGCACUGAUGAAAAAAUCUUUAUAUAUGAAUUGCUUAUGGGUGAUCUUAAUCAAAAUACAGCAUAUACAGGAGGAAAUGGAUAAAUGACAAUAUUUGAUAUUGAAGCAUAAUUUAGAGAGUGGUUGUUUCCUAAUAUUGCUAAUUCUCAGUUAAAAGCCUAUACUACUAUAGAAGUGUUUGAAAGCCUGACAUUGACAUGCUGUGAGAAUUAUGAUAGUAAAGUUUUUUAUUCUCAUUUGAUUUCACAUCUGUAAAUAGAUGAAUAUUAAAAAAUAAGCUUUUAAGCUUAUUAUAUUGUUUAUUAUUUAACAACUCAUCGAGAGAGAGAAUCAGAUGGAAAUAAUGAUAUGUUUAUUUACUGCUAAACACAGUUUAAAAUAUGACCAUUAGAAGAGUUUCCUAAAAUCUGAUUUGUUGUGACUCCUAUCAGGGGCCAUGACAAAUCCAAAAUAAUUUCCAAGGGUCGAUAUUUCAUAUAGUAUCUGUUGAAUGAUUGUUGGAUUUUCUAUUUUAAUCUCAUAACAGUGCAUUUGUUGGUUGUAUUAUUUUACUGCCUAUUGUAACAACUUGUCUAAUAUUGUUUACAUUUACAGAAACACAUAAAGUGAUCUGUCAAUUAAUAUCUAUCAUGCUGUUAUUGUUUUACUAAUGUUAAAUUAACUGCAUCAAUGAAAUGCAUAAUUAGUUUAAAAGUUAACUGAUUUAUUUUUCGUGUUAUUUAAAUUACAUGUACUUUCACAAUAAAGAGUUGUACUCUGUGGCU
ensembl:lncRNA